AUCUCUAAUUAUAUUGCAAUGAGGGUAUGUUUUCUAUAUUUAAUGUAAACACCAUUUGGAAGUCAGAAGAUGCUAAAUCAGAACCUUUCGUUAAAAAAAAUUAAGAAAUAACUUACCAGCUAUCCAUCCGAUAGCUUUCCGGUAUGGUAAAGACAAUAGAAUGGGUUGGGACAUUGCUGCGCAAAUGGAUUUACAAGAUGUAAAAAGUGUAAGUUUUGACGAAAAAUCUGUGCUGACACCGUAUAUGAAAAAAAGAUUUUGAUCGUGAUGACAUUGUCAAACUUUUUAAUCAAAGGUUUUCCAUUCGAAAAGAAAUGGAUGAGUAUUUACGCUUCAUACUUUGCCAUUAGGAUGUUUUGUGUUUUCCGAACAGCAGCUGAAAGUACUUUGUAAAUUCAAACAAAAUAUUAGUAAUUUGUGUAUCGAUUGCACCUGUUCAUUGUAUGUAUCUGGCUGUAUUUGUUACUGUCCUUAACGUACCUAAGCAACACAAUAUUUAUUAUUUAAAAAAAUUCUUUUCCUGACAAGAUGCAGCUUCUUUGAAUUAUUUAUGUAUUUAUAUUUUUUUUAGUUGCGACAUUACUUCUGUGGUGGGUAAAUAUGUAGUUGGGCGGUAUUUGCGAAAAAAAAUGUUAAAAAUCCGAAAAUACUUUUAUUCUAUGCUCUUUAACUUCCUCUUUUCAUUAAAAGCGGCGGAGGUAAGAAAUUCCAAAUACUUUAGGAGAUAUGGAAUUUUUAAAUUUCAUCACAAUUAUACCAGUGCAUUCAUGUGGCAUUCCACAUUGUUUCUUGUUUACGAGUAUCUAUUUUUUUAUUGGAUAAUGAUGUCACGUGAUUGAUCGUGAUAGGCCAGAAUUCAAAUGAACCAAUAGGUGAUUAUUUAGUUCAUUUAUUGUUUUAAAACGGUGUUUAAUUACUGCCUCCAAAUUAGGCGAGUUUUUAACGUUUCUAAUUUUAAAGUCUUAUUUUUUAUUGUUGCGCAAGUAAUAAGUAACAAAAAAUUUUUACGUGAGUUGUUACUGUUCAUCCUUUGUCCCGGUUUGUUAGGUCAGGUCAGUUACAUUAUAAAUACUUUAAAACUAAAGAACCAUUGAAAUAAUUUCAUAUUAUUUUUAAUGUACGCUUAGUUUCAAAGUAUUUAUAAUGUAACUGACCUGACCUAAUCGACCAUUUUCAUUAAUUAGGCAUUCACAAACAACGGCAAAAUAAAAAAAUGGUGACGUUCGAAUGAUAAACACAGGUCUUGUAUGCAAAAUAAGAACGGCGAUAUCUCCUAAAGUAUUUGGAAUUUCUUAUCUCCGCCACUUUUAAUGAAAAGAGGAAGUUGAAGAGCAUCUAAUAAAGGUAUUUUCGGACUUUUAACAUUUUUUUUCGCAAAUACCGCUCAACUACAUAUAUGAAAUUUAAAAAUUUGAUAUCUCCUAAAGUAUUUGGAAUUUCUUACCUCCGCCGCUUUUAAUGAAAAGAGGAAGUUGAAGAGCGUCUAAUAAAGGUAUUAUCGGAUUUUUAACAUUUUUUUUCGCAAAUACCGCUCAACUAAUUAUUUACCCUGUGGUGCUAAGGCAGAACCCAAUAUGUCAAAAAUCUUGAAUUUAUAGGAGGCGAGUUUUAAUCUUUGCAGCAUUGCUGUAAUUAAGGUGUAACUUCAAUGUGCACCAUAUUAACAUAGAUGAGUAACAAAAGGGUUUUAUAUUGUUGAAAAUAUAGAUCAUUCUGAAAUUUACUAAAGCGAACAAUUACUGUUAGUUUGACAUAUUGUCCUCUGCCUUCUUUUGUUUGAUACAAAUACUGACUUAUUGCUUACAUUUGUGUGAUGGUUAGCGACAUACAGGUUUCUUCCUUCUUUUAACUACCUUGAUUAUACCUACAACCGAAUGAGCCUGCGCUUUUACUAGGAUCUUUCAGUGACUGAUUGUGUAAGUCUUUAAAGUAAGGUUAUAGUAGGCUACACUAAUCCUUGAAGAUAUAAUAUAUAAAAAUUAAUUUAAUAAAAUUUAGGUAAAAAGCGUUUAUUUACUGAAAAAACACAUGCAAGAAAAUCACUCAUGUACUUCAAUAUCGUUGUCUAUUAACACAGGUACUUUGACACUAACUUCUAGAUUUACAUAAACAAUUAUUGUAAUACUCAGUGGUAAUUUUAGGAAAAGUAAGAAAAAGGGAACAUCACUAGUCUUCUUCAAUUUCACUGUCCACUACCACAGUUACUUUGCCACUCAUUUCCAGAUUUACAAGGUAAAUUGUGACAUUCAGCGGUAAUAUUAGAAACAUGAAAAUAAAGUAAACAAAUCACUCUUCUUCUUCACUAUGAUUGUCCAUUGCCUCAGAUACUCUGCCACUCGUUUUUAGAUUCAUGUAAAAUUGGUGACACUCGGUGUGAAUCAGAGGAAGGAGGCUUAGUAUAUCCUUCUUCUUGAGGGAAUUGAUGGGCAGUGAACCAUUGUAGCAUUUCGUUAACACCGGCGUUGGUUUCUUGCCCCUCUUCAAUCGCCGCAAGUCAAGCACUCGAAAGUUUUCUUCAUCAAGUGAGGUUUUGAACAAUAUUAGCCCGAAAGUCUUUUCGUACCUGAUCCAUUUCAUUUCAAGCCAACUUACUUUUCUGCCUUCUGUGUCAGUAGUCCUACGUGUCAAGUGUUCUUGAAAAAUUUUUGAAAAUUACAUAAAGUCCUCUUGGCUCAUUUCAUGCACUUGAAAUGGCGUUUUGCCCCUUACAGUUCGAACAAACUGAAACCAGUCCCGGGGUACCAUGUUAGGAAUUUCAGCAUUCUUUUUUGCCCUUACAAUGCGGGCAUGAUCUACGUCACAUUCAAGGUGUGUGUGUCCCGGCAUUAAAAACUUUUGAUCAACACAAUCAACAUGGUUACUCUUGCUGACAAACAACAUAAACAUGCAGGCCAUGUUAAUAUUUCUGUUUUGCCCCCCACAUGUAUCUGAGUAAGUUACCACAUGGUUUACAUUUUUGGGCAAGCUUUCAAGUUUUUUUAAUACACAGGACGCAAUGUCUUCAGAGCCCCUGUUUCCCAUUGCUUCAUGCCACAUGUAGCAGUGUGUGGUACCUCCACCUGUAGUGCAGUCCCGGAUUGUUAGGUUGUAAGUCGAAAGGAGGCGUUUGUAGAAAGAAACAUUGGCUGUAAGUGAAGGUGUGUCCAAGACCUGCUGUAAGUCGAAUACCAAGACUCUCGUGGUUGCGUCUUCAUUUGCUUUGCUAUUGUCGAUAUCCUUCGAUUUGUAGCCUAAGUCAGCCAUGUCCUUAUGUUUGUUAUGCUCCUGAAUCAAUCCUAUCUUUACAUUUUGGUCAUUGGUUUGCUUGAUUUUCAAUAUGUACGAGUCACAUGUCUUACAUGUAUCAACAUGUGGUUGUUUAAAUGUGUAACCUGUUGAUUUAAACACUUCCCUGAACAAAUAGUAUGAUCCAGCAUUUUUAUUUUCCACCUUGUAUUCACUAUACAAAAUUUUCAUGUUUGAAUGUCUUUGUAGGUACUUCUUCUUUGAGUCUCUUCUUGAAUAAUGACUUUCAUAUUUGGGAUACCUCUCUAUGUGCUCCAACAUAGCUUUCCGCUCUUCGAUCUUCUUGUUUGUGGGCUCAUGCCGACCUCUUUUAUCCUCAAGAGAAACAACCGGAACAGGAGAACCUUUUUUUUUCCACCAAAUAAUCUACUUUGAACAUUGUCAGUCCAUAAACAGAUUGGUACAUUUUUUUUGCAGACAAUUUCUCUAAUUGUAUCUACUUUCAAGGAAUAUUGAGCAGUGAUUUUUCGGUUGUGCUUAAUACCUGUUUUACUUCGAUCUUUCCUUUCACCGCUUUUUUUGGAGAUUGAUAUAACUCCUGCCAAAAUCUGGUUUUGUUCUUGUUUUGAACACUUAUAAAAAUUUUCGUAGAAAGCCUUUUGCUUUUCUUCAUUUAUUUUCACACAGCAUUUUUUACGGCAACAGUUACCAGCUGGCUGGAAUUUUUUCUUCGGAAUGACUUUGCCUUCUCUUGUCUUUGCCUCCUGUCCAUGAUCACGCAGCUCCUUCUGUUUUUUCCGCGUGUUAAUCCUUCGUUUCUUCCGUGAACAAGUGCGUUGUUCUUCAAUGGUAUUUGCUGUAUUGUCUACAUUGUCUGUUCUCUUUUGUGUUGGUCUGUCACCUACCUCCAUUUCUACAACGUCAGGAAUGCUGUCUUCCGGUAAUGUAAUGUAGCUGUCAACAGCCACGAGAUAAGUCAGGAAAAUGAUGGGCUGAGAAACAGCCAAAUCCCAAUAACUCUGACAUAUUGGAUUUCACAUAUACACGCUUGUUGCGAAAGGAUGCCAGAGUCCAAUAUGUCAAACAUGUUGGGUUUUACCAACGAUCAAAUACAAAUAAAUUAACAUAUUGGAAUUCUUUUUUACUUUAAAAACCGUUACAGAUUUUUUUUUUGAAUAGGUAUCAGGUUUUGCCAUCGUAAAAUUCACCACAUGAUGUACAUAUUGGCAUUAAAACCUAAAAAUAGAAUUUUUGUGACAUAUUGGGUUCUGCCUUAGCGCCACAGACUUGUAAAAAUUGUAUAUUGUUUGUUGUUUCCAGAAUUGUAACAUGUUUUAGUUUAUCUUUAGUUAAAAGCACAUUGCUCUCAUUCAAUUUUACGACUGUUUUGGCUUACAUGUAUUUCUGUUUCAAUUUUUGUUCUGGUAAAACUCGUUUGCAUUUGAAUUGCAUCUGCUGCCAUCCUUCUGGGAAAUUCAUAGGUCUUAAAUUAAAGAUACCGUACAUUAUGGGCAAACUCAAAAGUUUUUAUUAUGAAAAUUAUGUGUGUUUUAAUGACUUUGUGUGAUAUAGGUACUAAAAAUGAUUGAUAGGUUAGAAAAUUUGAAAACUGUGUUGAUUUAUAAAACGAUGACUGCAAAAGUAGAAAGAGCGGAGAACUGUGCACACCAGUCAAAUGUAACUUUUAAAAAUGAUUAUUAUACUGCUUUCUAAGAAGAAUGAUUUGGAUCUGGGGAACCUCGUGAAAGAUUAUUUUAGCCCUUUUCACCAACUACCUAGGCUAUAUAAAGAAAACAUGGCAUUGUGAAUGAAAUUUAUUGUCCAUAGAUUGCUAUGCCAUUUGCACCCAAUAUAUAGUAACAUCUUACCAGCUGUGGGAAGGCAAGGUUUAGUAAUGUAAGCGUAGAGCAGUGGUUCUACUGAGUUAAACAUGGUAUUCUCCCUAAACAGACCCCAUAAGCUUGGUCCCUUAUUGGCUUAUCUUUAUGAUUGUAUUUAGAACAUUUGUAAAACCCUGAUUUUAUGACCUUCCGAAAGAGUUAACGAAACAAAAAAGGAAACAGAAAAUAACUAACCAAAACAUUGAAACAAUUCAAGGUUAAACAUUGUAAACAGUCCUGCAGUGAUGAUUCACGUUCCCAGAUGGCAUACCAGUGGAAGAAGUUUGGAAAAGGAGUGCAGAACCAAACAAUUGUACUUAAAUAUGUAAUUUUUAAAAAUUUUUUAGUAAAAUCACUGAAAGCAACGAAGAUUCAGACAAGAGAACGUGUCCACAAAGAACCAGAAUUGACAGUAGGUACUGUGGUCUGGUAGUAAUCAUUUAAAUAGAUCAAAUUUUAAUAAACUUUUACAUUUGAGUGUUUUGUCGGUGCUUAGCCCGGUACCCAUUAGGCCGUGUGACAUCAGCUUUAGAGUGGAAGCUUGGCUUCGGGUGGUCAAAGUGAUAGGUUGGGAGAAACCGUUAGAGAGAGAUGAGAGGUACAAAGUAGAUAUUGAAAAAUUCUCUUAAAUCUGAAUAGAAAAAAUGGACAAUAAAUAUAUAUAUACACAUAUAUAUACAUGUAAGACAUUGGUUUGUGUAGUAAAGGCGUGGGUGGAGCCCAAAUAUCACCCGGUGUAGGAAUAAAGGCAGGCUGGAAGCGACAGGGUCCACAGUAGGACAAGCGUUGGAGUUGGCCCAGCUGGAUGAUAACUGAACCCUAAGGGACUGCUGGAGAAAGAUCCGAGCAAGAGAUUGUCAUAGUCCGAGUUGCUGGAGCACCCGUACUUGAAGAACGAACGCCUCAAUCUGGAAUACAAAGGAAAUAAGAGAACACAUUCUCUUAGCGCACACAUGCAUUUAGAGAAUUCAUGGAGUGCGCUUAGGUCACUAUAAACCGCGAGCGAGAUACGGAACUAAUCUGAUAUGAGACAGGAAUGGGAAUGGUAAAAGAGUUCUGGGAUUAUGCAUGUCUGGCAGCAAGAUUUUUAUCUAAUUGAAGACUAAGAAAUUGGAAGGAGAAGUUGGGAGGAAUGAUCAUCCUUCUUACAGGAACCAAUUAUGUAAUGUUAAGUAGUGAAUGUGAAUCAAUAAUAAAUACUUGUUAACAGUGAAAAUUUUAUAUUUUCUAACAGUUUUUAUAGUCCUGUGCACUUUCAAGCCUGGUUGAAGUUACAUUUAUGAUAAAAAUAUAAAUGAUAAAAUAGACAUGUGAAUUUUAUGUACUUCAUUGAAAUUUAGAUUGAUGCAACUAUUAUGCUACAUUACUUUGCUCCCUCAAUAUUAAUAUUAUCAAUCAUGUUUAUUUGCAGACCAUGAAUCAGUACAAAAAUGUAGGUAGUUGAAAUUCAAGAAUAUGGUGGAUUUCUUUAAAAGUAUUGGCUGCAAUGUUGUGUUAAUAACAUUGCCCCCAAUACCAGUUGUAAUUGAGGAAGCUGAGAGGACUGGCCUUGUGAUGAAAUUCAAUCAACUCAAUCAGCACACUGCAGGUUUGUAUUAAAUAUAAGCUGCGUUAACACCAACAAUAAUAGUAAACAUGUGUUGUUCCUUACAAUGGUUUGAGGAUAAAAAAAAGUUCAUACAUAUAAAAUACAAUUCAUAUGAUGUUAGUAAUUAAAUUACUUGGCUCAUUUCAAAAUCUGUACUAUGCAACAAAAUAUUGUUACUUAUCACAUGCACUUUAAAAAAUUUUCAGUUUUGUUUAAAUUGUUGACAUGUAAAUUGAAAUUUUAAAAAUAACUUUCAGACUUUAUUAUUACAAAGUACCUUAUAAAAGUAGAUGUGUGAAUAAAUUUACCUAAUCACUUAAUCAUUCAACAUUCAGCCACCAGUGCCCUAAUUUCAUGCUCCCAAGUACUUUUUUUUUUACUAUAGUAUGUAUUUUAAAAUCACUUAGCUGUCCUUUUUUAUUGCUGAGGCUAAAGGGCUGGACCCAGUGGCAUAGAACCCAGGGUGGGUUUUAUGGUUCCAUGGUUUUGCUCCGCCGCGGCAGUCUCGCGGGACGCGGUUACGAGUGUUCUGGAGACGGCCAGUACCGAAAGUCUUAGGGUGGCUCAGUGAGCGGGACCUUAAAUUACACUUACUUGUGGUUGCAGCCGGCAGGCGUAUGCGCGGCGGUUUAUCGAAAGCGUGUUGGCUGGAGUCAGCCUGUGCCGUACGUGGCGUGGUUCGCGAUGCGGUGCGGAACCUCUAACAAAGGCGGUCGGGAUAAGCCUGGGCCCGCAAAAUACACGCUGAGUCGGCGUGAGCAGCUAAGAAAGAAAAGAAAAGGUUUAGGCAUUUAGAUGACUGCAGAAUGACCGAUCAGUGAAACAAAGUGAAAGGUUGCUCAUGGACACACGUCUUGACCCGGCGCGGAGUGGUUGGAGACUGCCGAACAUGGCCGCCUCGCAUGGGAGGGAAAGUUUCGCCUCGUUUGUAAGACGGCACAAAAAACUUAUAUUAACUUAAUUUGCUCUAUUAUAAGCUAAGAACACGUUCCAGGUGCCCAAUUAAAAGGUAGCACUUGGUAAUUGGGUGCUUAAGGCUUAACCAUUGUUUUAGAGUAUUUAAUUAUUAGAAUUGCGGCAUCAAGUUGGGGACUGUAAAUUUAUUAACAUAUUGUCUCACUGUGAAUUGUUUUAGUGGAAUUUCUCCUAAUCCGACUUGAUCAUUGUCACGGGUACUUUAAUUAAAGCCAGUGGCGCGGUGAAUGUUAAUGAGGUUUGUUGUCUGCUCCAUGCGCGCGGUGCUCGCAAGGAGUGGCUACGACGCACUUGUUUAAUGUCUGGUAAUUAGUAAUUUUGUCCUAAUGGCUUUUCCCUUAAUUGUUUUAUGGGUUUGAGUCCCCGGGGUUCCGUGCCCUUAAGUUUCUUUACGUCUAUUGGGGUCACGCCCGAGGCGCUAGCCUGACUCAUUCCUGCUGGCCUGGGGAUGUGCUCUGAAAAUGGGAUCAGGUACUAGCGGUGCGGAGCACGGGCUUAGAGGCCAUGGUCGGGACGACGUCACCUCUUUAUAAAUGCUUUACAAUAUGAAAAUACUAAAAAAAAAGGAUGAUAAAAUCCAUAUUCAUUACGAUUACAAGAUAUUACAAGUUCCAGGUUUAUCAACUAAAAAUAUACAUUAAUAAAAAAAUUAAUUUGCCGUAAUUUUAAACACACAAAAAUAUCGAUAAUAAUCUUAAAAAUCAGCUUUUCUUACCACAUUAAUUAAACCUUGUAAACAGACCCGGAUUUCAUAUUAACCAUUUCAUAAACCUAUCCAAACUCAGUUUGUGAGGCGCGAUUAACGAGAGUUUUAUUUUUAGAACCGCCCUGAUAAUUGUCUCUUUGUUAAAUAAAGUAUUACAUCCUAGUGAUGUACAGACAUGUUUGAAAAAACAUUGUAAUAAAAAAAUUGGUUGUCUGUAAAGUCAGUUUACGGACGAUAGUUUAACGUGACGUCAUAACAAAACAUUGAUGAAAUGAUUGCAUACUUUUAUAAAUAAAAUUGAAUUAUUUUUAUUGAAUUAUCACUG